rnacentral:pre_miRNA from 1 species
AUACAAGUCACCUGGGACCUUGUUAAAAAGUAGAUUCUGAAUUAGUAAGUCUAGGAUGGGCCUCAAGAUUCUGAAAUUCUGUAUGUCUAACAAGCUCCCAUGUGAUACUAAU